UUUUAAACGCUUUGACGUAUUCAUUGUCGUGUGCUACUUGCGAUAGUCGUACUGGUGCAGUUCUUUAGAUUAUUACAUCUACUUACUCUAUGCUGCUGUUCUUAUAUAUUUAUUACAAAGCAUGGCACGUUCAACCUCCGUUCUUGCUCGUAGUAGCGUAGUAUUGAGUUAACAGUCAGUUGGAAAUACGCAGUUUCUACCACAUAAAAUCAAUUUCUACGCUCUUCGAUUACGUUGUUUUGUCUUGCGAGCUCAAUACUGAUUCUACUUUCACUCUAAACAUUUUCUGCAGCUUUGCGUAUAAUUUAAUUUGUGCAAAUCUACAGACAAAAUAUGCCCCCUAAAGCUAGGCUGAAGAGAUCCACGACCAUCCAGCAAACUGUGGAAGCAUCGCAAUCAUUUGUUGGCUCCAUUGGAACCACUAGAAAGCGAAAAGCGCCGGUGACAGUAGAAAUUGAUGCUCCCAAGAAGAAAGUGAAACUAGUAAAGCAGCAGACAAUGAAAGUCACGGCAAAAGAGGGCAAAACAAUAACGAAAGGCAAGGCGAGAGGAAAAACUAGAGGCAAAACAGCUGCAAAGAAGCCCAAGCUUGCAAAGCAUACAACGAUGAAAGCAACCAAAGCUGAAGGUGAAAGAUUGCUAGGCAAGAAGAAGUUAGAUAGCACGCGAGGUAAGACUAAGGCAAAACCCAAAAUGAAGAGAACGGGUACAAUGCAAGCCACCGCAGCUUCAGCAGUACAAUUUCUCCCAACCGGCGAUCGCUACUUUACCGAAGUGAAAACAUUUGUUGCGGAUAACAUGCUCCAGAAGAAAAAAUGAAAUACCUCCACUUCUCUAUCUACUGAUGAUUAACACUCUCAUAUUAAUUGAUUUUUCAUUGAGUUGCCAAACUUAAUACUCAUUCUGUUUAUACUAUCAUUUUUGAACUACAUAAAAAUCUUCUUCAAAA